rnacentral:rRNA from 1 species
AACGAACGCUGGCGGCAGGCCUAACACAUGCAAGUCGAGCGAGCAUUUCGGUGCUAGCGGCGGACGGGUGAGUAACGCGUGGGAACGUGCCCUUUUCUGCGGAAUAGUCCUGGGAAACUGGGGGUAAUACCGCAUACGCCCUUUUGGGGAAAGAUUUAUCGGGGAAGGAUCGGCCCGCGUUGGAUUAGGUAGUUGGUGGGGUAAUGGCCCACCAAGCCGACGAUCCAUAGCUGGUUUGAGAGGAUGAUAAGCCACACUGGGACUGAGACACGGCCCAGACUCCUACGGGAGGCAGCAGUGGGGAAUCUUAGACAAUGGAGGCAACCCUGAUCUAGCCAUGCCGCGUGAGUGAUGAAGGCCUUAGGGUUGUAAAGCUCUUUCAGCUGGGAAGAUAAUGACGGUACCAGCAGAAGAAGCCCCGGCUAACUCCGUG